rnacentral:piRNA from 1 species
UGUUGUAAAUUAUGACAGAUUAGUAGGGA